rnacentral:rRNA from 1 species
GACGAACGCUGGCGGCGUGCUUUACACAUGCAAGUCGAUCGGUGAAGGUGGAGCUUGCUCCGCCGGAUCAGUGGCGAACGGGUGAGUAACACGUGGGCAACCUGCCCCUAACUUUGGGAUAACUACUCGAAAGAGUAGCUAAUACCGGAUAUGAAGUCUGUAGGCAUCUAUGGAUUUGGAAAGUUUUUCGGUUAGGGAUGGGCCCGCGGCCUAUCAGCUUGUCGGUGAGGUAGUGGCUCACCAAGGCGACGACGGGUAGCCGGCCUGAGAGGGCGACCGGCCACACUGGGACUGAGACACUGCCCAGACUCCUACGGGAGGCAGCAGUGGGGAAUAUUGCGCAAUGGGCGAAAGCCUGACGCAGCAACGCCGCGUGCGGGAUGAAGGCCUUCGGGUUGUAAACCGCUUUCAGCAGGGAAGAAGCGAAAGUGACGGUACCUGCAGAAGAAGCACCGGCUAACUACGUGCCAGCCGCCGCCGUAA